rnacentral:rRNA from 1 species
UACGAAGGGGGCUAGCGUUGCUCGGAAUCACUGGGCGUAAAGCGCACGUAGGCGGAUUUCUAAGUCAGGGGUGAAAUCCUGGAGCUCAACUCCAGAACUGCCUUUGAUACUGGGGAUCUUGAGUCCGGGAGAGGUGAGUGGAACUGCGAGUGUAGAGGUGAAAUUCGUAGAUAUUCGCAAGAACACCAGUGGCGAAGGCGGCUCACUGGCCCGGUACUGACGCUGAGGUGCGAAAGCGUGGGGAGCAAACAGG